rnacentral:rRNA from 1 species
UACGUAGGGUGCAAGCGUUGUUCGGAUUUAUUGGGCGUAAAGAGUGUGUAGGCGGCUGGACAGGUCCGUUGUGAAAACUAGAGGCUUAACCUCUAGACGUCGAUGGAAACCGUCUGGCUAGAGUCCGGAAGAGGAGAAUGGAAUUCCUGGUGUAGCGGUGAAAUGCGUAGAUAUCUGGAGGAACACCGGUGGCGAAGGCGGCAUCCUGGACCGGCAUUGACGCUGAGGAGCGAAAGCCAGGGGAGCAAACGGG